rnacentral:rRNA from 1 species
GAUGAACGCUAGCGGCAGGCUUAAUACAUGCAAGUAGAGGGGUCAGCAAUGACACCGGCGGACGGGUGCGUAACGCGUAUGCAACCUACCUCCAUCAGGGGGAUAGCCCUAGGAAACUGGGAUUAACACCGCAUAAUAGUAUUGAUGGCAUCAUUGAUAUUUGAAAUAUUUAUAGGAUGUAGAUGGGCAUGCGUAAGAUUAGCUAGUUGGUAAGGUAACGGCUUACCAAGGCUACGAUCUUUAGGGGCUCUGAGAGGAGUAUCCCCCACACUGGCACUGAGAUACGUGCCAGACUCCUACGGGAGGCAGCAGUAGGGAAUAUUGGGCAAUGGAGGCAACUCUGACCCAGCCAUGCCGCGUGCAGGAAGACGGCCCUCUGGGUUGUAAACUGCUUUUGAAUGGGAAGAAUGUGAUGUUUGCGAGCAUUAAUGACGGUACCAUUAGAAUAAGCCACGGCUAACUACGUGCCAGCCGCCGCAGUAAAAC